rnacentral:rRNA from 1 species
GGGUUGUGAGGUUAAGCGACUAAGCGUACACGGUGGAUGCCCUGGCAGUCAGAGGCGAUGAAGGACGUGCUAAUCUGCGAUAAGCGUCGGUAAGGUGAUAUGAACCGUUAUAACCGGCGAUUUCCGAAUGGGGAAACCCAGUGUGAUUCGUCACACUAUCAUUAACUGAAUCCAUAGGUUAAUGAGGCGAACCGGGGGAACUGAAACAUCUAAGUACCCCGAGGAAAAGAAAUCAACCGAGAUUCCCCCAGUAGCGGCGAGCGAACGGGGAGCAGCCCAGAGCCUGAAUCAGUGUGUGUGUUAGUGGAAGCGUCUGGAAAGGCGCGCGAUACAGGGUGACAGCCCCGUACACAAAAAUGCACAUGCUGUGAGCUCGAUGAGUAGGGCGGGACACGUGGUAUCCUGUCUGAAUAUGGGGGGACCAUCCUCCAAGGCUAAAUACUCCUGACUGACCGAUAGUGAACCAGUACCGUGAGGGAAAGGCGAAAAGAACCCCGGCGAGGGGAGUGAAAAAGAACCUGAAACCGUGUACGUACAAGCAGUGGGAGCACAGAGCAAUCUGUGUGACUGCGUACCUUUUGUAUAAUGGGUCAGCGACUUAUAUUCUGUAGCAAGGUUAACCGAAUAGGGGAGCCGAAGGGAAACCGAGUCUUAACUGGGCGUUAAGUUGCAGGGUAUAGACCCGAAACCCGGUGAUCUAGCCAUGGGCAGGUUGAAGGUUGGGUAACACUAACUGGAGGACCGAACCGACUAAUGUUGAAAAAUUAGCGGAUGACUUGUGGCUGGGGGUGAAAGGCCAAUCAAACCGGGAGAUAGCUGGUUCUCCCCGAAAGCUAUUUAGGUAGCGCCUCGUGAAUUCAUCUCCGGGGGUAGAGCACUGUUUCGGCAAGGGGGUCAUCCCGACUUACCAACCCGAUGCAAACUGCGAAUACCGGAGAAUGUUAUCACGGGAGACACACGGCGGGUGCUAACGUCCGUCGUGAAGAGGGAAACAACCCAGACCGCCAGCUAAGGUCCCAAAGUCAUGGUUAAGUGGGAAACGAUGUGGGAAGGCCCAGACAGCCAGGAUGUUGGCUUAGAAGCAGCCAUCAUUUAAAGAAAGCGUAAUAGCUCACUGGUCGAGUCGGCCUGCGCGGAAGAUGUAACGGGGCUAAACCAUGCACCGAAGCUGCGGCAGCGACGCUUAUGCGUUGUUGGGUAGGGGAGCGUUCUGUAAGCCUGCGAAGGUGUGCUGUGAGGCAUGCUGGAGGUAUCAGAAGUGCGAAUGCUGACAUAAGUAACGAUAAAGCGGGUGAAAAGCCCGCUCGCCGGAAGACCAAGGGUUCCUGUCCAACGUUAAUCGGGGCAGGGUGAGUCGACCCCUAAGGCGAGGCCGAAAGGCGUAGUCGAUGGGAAACAGGUUAAUAUUCCUGUACUUGGUGUUACUGCGAAGGGGGGACGGAGAAGGCUAUGUUGGCCGGGCGACGGUUGUCCCGGUUUAAGCGUGUAGGCUGGUUUUCCAGGCAAAUCCGGAAAAUCAAGGCUGAGGCGUGAUGACGAGGCACUACGGUGCUGAAGCAACAAAUGCCCUGCUUCCAGGAAAAGCCUCUAAGCAUCAGGUAACAUCAAAUCGUACCCCAAACCGACACAGGUGGUCAGGUAGAGAAUACCAAGGCGCUUGAGAGAACUCGGGUGAAGGAACUAGGCAAAAUGGUGCCGUAACUUCGGGAGAAGGCACGCUGAUAUGUAGGUGAAGUCCCUCGCGGAUGGAGCUGAAAUCAGUCGAAGAUACCAGCUGGCUGCAACUGUUUAUUAAAAACACAGCACUGUGCAAACACGAAAGUGGACGUAUACGGUGUGACGCCUGCCCGGUGCCGGAAGGUUAAUUGAUGGGGUCAGCGCAAGCGAAGCUCUUGAUCGAAGCCCCGGUAAACGGCGGCCGUAACUAUAACGGUCCUAAGGUAGCGAAAUUCCUUGUCGGGUAAGUUCCGACCUGCACGAAUGGCGUAAUGAUGGCCAGGCUGUCUCCACCCGAGACUCAGUGAAAUUGAACUCGCUGUGAAGAUGCAGUGUACCCGCGGCAAGACGGAAAGACCCCGUGAACCUUUACUAUAGCUUGACACUGAACAUUGAGCCUUGAUGUGUAGGAUAGGUGGGAGGCUUUGAAGUGUGGACGCCAGUCUGCAUGGAGCCGACCUUGAAAUACCACCCUUUAAUGUUUGAUGUUCUAACGUGGACCCGUAAUCCGGGUUGCGGACAGUGUCUGGUGGGUAGUUUGACUGGGGCGGUCUCCUCCUAAAGAGUAACGGAGGAGCACGAAGGUUGGCUAAUCCUGGUCGGACAUCAGGAGGUUAGUGCAAUGGCAUAAGCCAGCUUGACUGCGAGCGUGACGGCGCGAGCAGGUGCGAAAGCAGGUCAUAGUGAUCCGGUGGUUCUGAAUGGAAGGGCCAUCGCUCAACGGAUAAAAGGUACUCCGGGGAUAACAGGCUGAUACCGCCCAAGAGUUCAUAUCGACGGCGGUGUUUGGCACCUCGAUGUCGGCUCAUCACAUCCUGGGGCUGAAGUAGGUCCCAAGGGUAUGGCUGUUCGCCAUUUAAAGUGGUACGCGAGCUGGGUUUAGAACGUCGUGAGACAGUUCGGUCCCUAUCUGCCGUGGGCGCUGGAGAACUGAGGGGGGCUGCUCCUAGUACGAGAGGACCGGAGUGGACGCAUCACUGGUGUUCGGGUUGUCAUGCCAAUGGCACUGCCCGGUAGCUAAAUGCGGAAGAGAUAAGUGCUGAAAGCAUCUAAGCACGAAACUUGCCCCGAGAUGAGUUCUCCCUGACUCCUUGAGAGUCCUGAAGGAACGUUGAAGACGACGACGUUGAUAGGCCGGGUGUGUAAGCGCAGCGAUGCGUUGAGCUAACCGGUACUAAUGAACCGUGAGGCUUAACCUUACAACGCCGAAG